GAUGAAAUGAAGUGUGUUCAACGAUAGGGAUCAGCACAGGUUUCCUGCUGUGUCAGGGCCCCGGCCGAGAACACAUUCCGAGCAGAAAGGGGCAAGUUUAAUUAUUCGCACGUACGUACGAUAUGUAUGUGCAGUAGGUUUAUAAUAAAUAAAGAGAGAUAGAAAGGUGAUGCUGUGUGUUCAACCGAUCCAAUCCAAGUUGCAAAGUGUAUGCAGUGCAGGCUGUAGCAUUAGCAUAGCCCGGCCCAGCCUCUUUUUUUUUUGGUGUCGCUGUGGGUCACUGACGGCAACUUCAGCAGUAUUUAGGUCUAUCAGCGAGCGAGCGAGCGAUCGAUCGAUCGGCGAGCAAUGUCAAGGUCUCACCUAUAA
rnacentral:lncRNA from 7 species